AGAAUUCCUCAGCAUUCUGAGCAGAUUAUAUGGGGGAAGAAAGAACAAGAAAGUGAGCCCUGAGCUAGCAAGGGGCUGUGGCUGCUGCUGCUGCUGCUGGCAUGUGCGGGCACCAGGCACCAUUCCCAGUGCCUCACACCUGUGAGCUCUCUUCACCUCCCAGCCCUGGGCAGUGGGCACUAUGCUCAUCCCCACUUUGCAGGUGAGGACGUGGAGGCCCAGGGAGGUGUCGUGGCUUUCCCAGUGUGCACAAUGGGGAAACUGAGGCCAAGGCAAUGACGGUCCACAGUGGCAGAGAAAUUGGUGGCAGAGCCAGGAGGAGCGGUCCCUUUGCAUGACAUCUCGAUGGUGCAGACCGGAUAUUAAAGGAAGUGACUGCUGUGGUCCAGGCAUGUCACAGAUCACUGCAACAGAAGGGUCUUACUUGUUCACACUGGUCCUGGGUGGAUAUUAAGGGCGAGGUUCAAUCUGUCUUCCAUACUGACCUUCAGAGACCCAGGUCUCUUCCAUUCUGCAGUUCUUCACCACAGUCUGCCUCCAGGGACAGAAGACAGAGCCCUGGGCCAGUCAGGUCAAUCCCACUUCCGCUAUGUUGAAUACCAUGGCACUCUGCUCUGGUGUUUACUGCUGCCCACAUCCUGGCCUUGACCUCUUCCUUCCAGACCUCGGCCUUGUCUCGCUCAGCCCUUCUGUCCACCCAGGAAGGCCCUGCCUGGGGUCCGGCUGGCCAGUGGGCGAGGCUGCAGCCAAAGUCUCCAAGCGGAGGGGGCUGGAGUCCCUGAGCAGCUGGUGUGUGCGCUCAGUAAUCAUCCAGUCUGCAUGCAGGGGGGCUGCCUCCCCCAUCCUGUGUCAGGAGAGAACAGGAAGCUGCAGCUGGCAAGUCCACAAUUGGAGUCUGCCCACGCAGAGCUACAAAUCCUUCUCCCUGAAUUUCAAUGUGCCUGGUGCGGCAGAGAAGGAAGCUGUUCCCACCUCUAAGAAGAGUUGCUGAGACAAAGGGGGCUCCUGCUGCCCCCUCCGAGGGUUGACCGCAUAAGCCUGGGAAGGCCUGGCUUCUCUUCUGAAGGCCCUGUUUUUGCCAGGGUCCAUCCAGGCUGGCAUGUUUCUUGGGAACAAUGGGAGUCUGGGCCAUCGGGCCUGGCAUUCAAGGCCUCCUCCUUCUAGCCGCCCCCACCGUCUUUCUCUCUAACGGGUCCCCAGAGCAUGCUCUUUCCCAAGGC